rfam:Aedes aegypti strain Liverpool supercont1.137 genomic scaffold, whole genome shotgun sequence.
GGCUCGGUAGCUUAGUUGGUAAAGCGCUCGUCUAGCAUACAAGAGUCCUGGGUUAAAAUCCCACGUGGAUUUU